rnacentral:rRNA from 1 species
GACGAACGCUGGCGGCGUGCUUAACACAUGCAAGUCGAACGGAAAGGCCCUGCUUUUGUGGGGUGCUCGAGUGGCGAACGGGUGAGUAACACGUGAGUAACCUGCCCUUGACUUUGGGAUAACUUCAGGAAACUGGGGCUAAUACCGGAUAGGAGCUCCUGCUGCAUGGUGGGGGUUGGAAAGUUUCGGCGGUUGGGGAUGGACUCGCGGCUUAUCAGCUUGUUGGUGGGGUAGUGGCUUACCAAGGCUUUGACGGGUAGCCGGCCUGAGAGGGUGACCGGCCACAUUGGGACUGAGAUACGGCCCAGACUCCUACGGGAGGCAGCAGUGGGGAGUAUUGCACAAUGGGCGCAAGCCUGAUGCAGCAACGCCGCGUGCGGGAUGACGGCCUUCGGGUUGUAAACCGCUUUCGCCUGUGACGAAGCGUGAGUGACGGUAAUGGGUAAAGAAGCACCGGCUAACUACGUG